rnacentral:lncRNA from 1 species
CAGAGAUUGUGGAACCUCAAGUUGUUGGCUUGGACAGAAUAAAUUACCUUCUGAAAAUGUGUGUAUGUAGGUGUGGCCAAAGACAGUGGUGGUGCUCCAGAAUUAGAAGUGAGAACAAUGUCUGUCAUGGAGCUGAGAAGCUGGGAUAGCUGGGGUAUUUUUGUAACCACAUACAGCUCAUGUGUGGUCCACAUAUAGGUAC